rnacentral:rRNA from 1 species
AUGUCGAACAUCUCAAAUAUGGACAAAGACUGCCCCAGUGAUCUAUUGAACUACUUCACCAAGAAGGUAGGAGAAAGACUAAGAGGGCAGGUUUUUCGAGUCAAUGCUCUUAUGGUGGUUAUGGGCAUCUUGAUGGGGUUCAUGGUCGGGAUAGGCACCUAUGGCCAUCGCUACCGGCACAUUCCAUUGAUCCGUUUCCUCUUCCUGGCUGCCACCACAUUGUUUCUGCCCAUUGUCUCUUAUAUUGUCUCUUCCAGUGAUUUAGACAAUUACAAGUCAACCACCAUUUGGAUGGAGACCAUAGUAGUGAAAUGUCGUGCACAAGCACUACACAUCAUCUUUGUCCUUAUAUGGACGGCUCUUGUUCUGAAUGUUGGUAUAAAUACCACUGCACUAGUUGCCGCCGAUGCUAGAGAAGGUCGAAGCAUUCCUCCCAAUAUGACGCUACUUAUCCAAGCAAUGUGGACCUCCUACCUAGGGAUAUACAUCUGCAUUGUACAGGAGAAGCCUUGUGGCUAUGAAUUAAAGUGGAUGUCCAACAGAGUGAGAGGUGAUAUGUACAACACAGUGAGAGGUGAUAUGUACAACAAGGGCUUAGUGACAUUUGACAAAGUUUGGCAGUUGAAUGACACACUUCUGAGAUCAAAAUCACUACAGCUGAAAGAACUAUGCUUUUCGUUCGCAUUAUUUAAACUGCUACGGUGUCGAAUUGCGAAAUACACAAUUACCGAGGUUGGUUUCAUCAAGGGCAGUAACUUCUUACGACAAAUCUUGGUUGAGGAUAAUGAUGGUGAAAGAGUACUUGCGGUGAUUGCACAUGAGCUUUCUUUUCUCCAUGACUAUUAUUAUUCAUCACUUCCAAUCAUAUAUUCAAAGAGUUGGCUUCCAAUCGUGAGCGGAUUCAUUUCACUACUAAGCAUAUGUUACUGCUUGCCAGCCAUAAUUCUUAUUGCUGCCCUGGGGAAAGUAUCUGGGAUAGGGCAGAUUGACUGUGAUGUGUACUGCGAGGGUAUUUCUUAUGACGAUCAAGUUAGUUCAAUAUCUUUUGGAAGUAUGUACUUUGAUAUCAUACCAUUGUAUAUACUUGCUGCACUAGUUAUACUUGCCGAGGUGAGGGACAUUGCAUUUUACAUCCGCUCUAACUGGAUUAAAGUUGCCUUGAUAUGUCAAUAUGUGAAGCAUGGUUCCUGGCGACAAUCCGCUACCAUCCAGAGAUGUGUUGGUUGUGUGCUACGGAGCAAAGGCAAGUUGAUAAGGAAUUGGGAGGACAAAAUGGGCCAGUCCUCAGUUUUGGUGCUCCACCCAAGCAAAACUCCAAUGGCUCUUCUUCGGCAUCUCAUUCAUUUGUCAGGCCAAAAUACGAAGACACCAAGUGCAGUCAAAUCUGCUAUUGUCGGUGCAUUGAGAAAAGGUUACGAGAGAGGGCAAAUCAAUGGUGAUGUACCCUCUUUCCAAAGGAUCCUACAUCUGCAAGACGACGACAAGAUCAUUUGGACAUUUGGGGAAAGAGGUACGGCUGAAAUCAUGCUUGUGUGUCACAUUGCUACCACAAUCCUUGGAGCAAGGUUACCAACACAUCAACCUCCAUCAGACACUGACCAUAUCUCUGCUGCAAAUCAUAUAUCACAAUAUUGCGCCUACCUGGUGGCACACUAUCCUGAGCUACUACCUGAAGAUGAUGAAUGGUGCAAGAGCCUGUACAAGGCCGUCGAGAAAGAUGCCAAGCGUGUACUCAUUGGCAAUGAUUCGAUGUCUGAAGUUGAGUACUGGAGGAGGUUGAUUCAGUUGCUAAGCGCAGAGCGUAACCAUGAGGUGCUCAAGGAUGGCGCGAGGCUUGCAGAGCAAUUGGCUGAAGAAGGGGAGGAGGCAGCUUGGAAGGCGCUCGCUGCGUUUUGGUCGGACAUGAUCCUGUAUGUCGCUCCAUCGGACAACAUUGACGGUCAUAUGGAGGCGAUCGCCCGCGGCGGCGAGCUGAUAACCCUCCUCUGGGCUUUGGUCACCCACCUCGGCAUCGUCGGCAGGUCAGACAACACCACUGAUGCUGCUACCGUUGACGUUUAA